GGGUUGAAGCUCUCCUCUUCUCUCUCUCUCUAGGAAUUUCUCUCUCUAGCUAGAAUCAAGGUUUUGAGCUUGAUUUUGCUUCCUACUUGAUGUUUGCUAUUGGAGGGAUUAAGGGAAGUGCUAGUUGACAGUAGAAGUGAGGUUUGACACGAUUUCAUGCCUCUAAUCCAGCAGUAGAAUCGGAUUGGGGUAAGAAGAGUUAUCAGUCAUUCCAAGCUAAUUAGCAGAGUGUUACUAGCUGGUUUUGGGCAUACUCCAGUCAAUAGAAGUUGAAGUUCUAAGAGGAGAAGGUGAUAACAGCCGUGAGAAGUUAUUUAAGCUAAAUAUCUGGAUAUUAUGAACUGGUUUUGAUAGUACUACAACCGGUGGGACGAUGAACUGGUUUUGAUAGUACUACAACCGGUGGGACAUGGAACUACCAGCUAGGGAUCUAAAUAACCAUGCGAUAGGGUAUCGGAUGAUUCCCGGCUGAGUAUUAGAAGUUUUCGGAAGUUAAGACGAAUACCUUAACCUGGUUCUAGUAGGGGUUAAGCUACAACCGCAUGCAAGGUUUGCGACGUGCGGUGUGAUGGAUCCCGGCUGAUUCUAGGAGGCUUUCGAAGCGAAAACUUGGCGCUUUAAUUUCAGCUGAACCAGAGGUUCCACUAUAGUAAAGUAUUAGGGCAUUUGGAGGAUUGUGAUACUCUUACCUGCAAAUUGGACGUGGGUUAUCAAGUAUCAGAGCCACCUGCUACAGGAGAGACUAGGGAUCGCGGCAAGGGAGUCUCAUCUAGCUAGAUCUAGCUUGGAGCGUGACUAGAUAAUCAUCUUGCUACUCGGGCUACGGCCGAGGGUGAUGUCCCCAUGUAUAGAGAGACUACCAUUGUACAUAUAUUUUGUGCACCUUAUGAUGUAUAUGUGGUUUGAAUCUGGAUUACCGUUUUGGUGUUUUCUGUGGAUUUGAGA